rnacentral:lncRNA from 1 species
GUUAGAUUAUUUUUAUUUUGUUCCUAACCAUUUUGUUGUAACGUGCAGAUGCUAGCCUUUCAUGUUUCUUCACAAGCAUCACGACAAAGAAGAAGAAGCAUAGUUCAGUGGAUCUAGUUCUCGGAGUAAUGAAGCCCAUGUGAUGCUUCAUUACUAUACACUUGUAGAGCUUUUUAUCUGAUUGUAAACUUAAUGUUGAUCACAUUUAUA